UGGUGUACACUCUAAUACACUAAAUUUUCCUGCUAUUACGCGUAUUAUCCAGUAUUACAGGGUAUUACAGAACUAUUACAGGGUAUUAUUGAUUAUUACAGAAUAUUACCUCUAUCAGGGAUGGGUAAAAGUGUUUUUUUCGGAGUUUUCUACGUAUAAUACAUAAAUGACGUAUAAUACGUAGAAAAUUGUAGAAAACCUGGUAUUAUACAUGUCCAGUUCUGCGCAUGCGUACAAACCUCACAAUAAUAAUAAAAAUCAUAUGUUUGAUUAUUUUUUAUUUGUUUCCUGGUUUUCAUUACUAAAUUGUUGCUAAAAAUACCAAGAAAAAACCAAAAAAGGUUACAUAUAAGCAAUAUUGUACAACAAUCACUGACACAUGGCCUGGCACAUGGAGAUGUAUAACCUAUAAAUGGGUCUGGCGGCAGCAGACAACCUGACCUGACCACGAACAGUUAGAACUUUGUUU